rnacentral:rRNA from 1 species
GAUGAACGCUGGCGGCGUGCCUAAUACAUGCAAGUCGAGCGAACGGACGAGAAGCUUGCUUCUCUGAUGUUAGCGGCGGACGGGUGAGUAACACGUGGAUAACCUACCUAUAAGACUGGGAUAACUUCGGGAAACCGGAGCUAAUACCUGAUAAUAUUUUGAACCGCAUGGUUCAAAAGUGAAAGACGGUCUUGCUGUCACUUAUAGAUGGAUCCGCGCUGCAUUAGCUAGUUGGUAAGGUAACGGCUUACCAAGGCAACGAUGCAUAGCCGACCUGAGAGGGUGAUCGGCCACACUGGAACUGAGACACGGUCCAGACUCCUACGGGAGGCAGCAGUAGGGAAUCUUCCGCAAUGGGCGAAAGCCUGACGGAGCAACGCCGCGUGAGUGAUGAAGGUCUUCGGAUCGUAAAACUCUGUUAUUAGGGAAGAACAUAUGUGUAAGUAACUGUGCACAUCUUGACGGUACCUAAUCAGAAAGCCACGGCUAACUACGUG